rnacentral:misc_RNA from 1 species
UCCGGUUUGGCACCGGCAGUCUCCCUAGAGUCCCCGACAUUACUCGCUGGCAACUAGGAACGGGGGUUGCGCUCGUUGCGGGACUUAACCCAACAUCUCACGACACGAGCUGACGACAGCCAUGCAGCACCUGUGCACGAGCUCCGAAGAGGGGCCCUCGUUUCUGAGGGCUUACUCGUACAUGUCAAGCCUAGGUAAGGUUCUUCGCGUUGCGUCGAAUUAAACCACAUGCUCCACCGCUUGUGCGGGCCCCCGUCAAUUCCUUUGAGUUUCAGCCUUGCGGCCGUACUCCCCAGGCGGGGUACUUCAUGCGUUAGCGCCGGCACUCGAGGGGUCGCUCCCCCAAGCACCUAGUACCCAUCGUUUACGGCGUGGACUAC